GCCUAGAGAGGCGACGUUGUGUGGCGCCGUGGUGGCAUCGAUGGUGGGCUUUCAAGGUUAAUAUGUUGGUACCUGUUCUGAAGAUAGAUCGGUGGAAGACGGUGGCGGUCUCUCAGGAUGCGCCGGACCGGUGUGUGUCCCAGACCCUGCAAGAGGCUUGGUUGGGGCCUUCAGCUUUAGAUGUUAGGCUUAAGUGCGAGGUUUGUUUGGUAUUCGGUUCAGACAUUCGACAUCCCUUUCAUCAAGUGGUUAAGAGUAGCGACGGAUAUGUUAAGAUGAUGGCUUCAGACUUACUCAUGUAUUAAGUUGUAAGGUAUUUAUGAAUAAUUAAUGAAAUGGUUCCAUUCACGAGGUGCAGAGGCCCGAUGUCAUCCUCUUUUUCAUAUUAUUUUUUGCUCAAAUAAAUGGAAGCCUCCCAUCUUAAUUACAACUAGGGGCGAAGAACUCAAGUAUGAUACACUUCCCAACUACAGGAGUACUGAAAUCACCAUACGCCGUGAUCUAGGAUAAAUACAUUUAUUCAUAAGUACCUCCCAUCUUAACUUCAUGAUGCCGGGUGAACCUUCCUGACGAUCCAGCGAACAAUCCUCCUCCAUCUUAGCUUAAUCUCCUUGGGCACCUGACGCUUCUGCUCAUGGCUUCUUUUUCCUGCGCCCAUGUGAACAACGGCCGCUGCUGCCUCGUACACCAUCGCCGGCUAUUUUUAUCUAUCUGCUGCACACAAGCAAGAGACGAAACGACUAAUGUUUUUCCUCGGGAGUCCUCAGUUUUGCUCGUGUUGUCUGGUGUGGACUUGCGAAUGCAUCCGUUCAGUAUUUGUAGGAACGUCUCGCUAAACUGGCUUGGCACCCAAGGAACGAGCAAGGAUGGCUCAAUGGUCGAGUCAAAGGUCAAGGUAUGCGCAUAUGCUAC
rnacentral:lncRNA from 1 species